ensembl:lncRNA
UUCAUUUGCUCCAUAUAAUUCUGCUUCACCUUUGCUUGCAGAUCUUUCUACUGGAAGUCAGCAGAAUGCCUCUGUCUGGAGAAAUGUGUGUUGACCAAAGGGAAAGAUUGGCUCAAGUGAGAACCGUGAUGGCUACCAGCAUCAGCUCCCUAGAUACUCUCAAAGCAAGGCCAGGCCCUAUUCAGGAAGCAGACGCAUUUUUCCUCAACUCUCCUAUUCAGGCAUUAACAGUGUGUAAAUGCAAUGUAAGCGCAACCUACAACAGCACGAAGUUAGCAGAAGGAAAAUGGACUCAGGAGCCUAGCAAAAGAAGGGAGCCUACAAAAAAAGCAAACAAGGGAAAAAUAAAAGGUAUGUUUGUGUGGAGGGGACAACCAGGUUAGGGAUGAUGUAAAAAGCAGAGUUUUAUCAAGAAAUCAAGUAUUUUGCCUAUUGCUCUCGCAGAGCCUUCUAAUUGCCAGCACAAUUUCUAAGGCACUCAGGCAACCCUCAAGCAGUGUGCUGAAGGUGUGUUUGUGCGGCUAUGCCCUCUGGCUUGGCUGCCAGCCUAUUUCCUUAGAUCAGAGCCAGAAGGCAGACUGUUUUCGAAUACCGAUCACCUCACCCGGACCUAAUCCUUUGAGUUCUCUUUGGCAUCUAUUCCUUCUGCCAGUUUCCUCUUCUGUUCCUCUCUUUUCUUCUGAAGUUGACAACAAAGACAUCCUCAGGGUCCUCCUUGAUGUAAGACCACUCUUGAUGUUAUUACAGUGUGGUUUUUCUUUUUUUUUUUUUUUUGUAACCUAAAGUUGUGCUACUUUUAUAUUCAGCUAGCACAAUAUUUGCACACCAGAAGAUAAAGAAAAUGUGAAUAUGUU